rnacentral:rRNA from 1 species
GACGAACGCUGGCGGCGUGCUUAACACAUGCAAGUCGAACGGGAUUUAGUAGACAGAAGCCUCGGCUAAAGAUUACUAAUGAGAGUGGCGAACGGGUGAGUAACGCGUGAGCAACCUGCCUAUGACAGUGGGAUAGCCUCGGGAAACCGGGAUUAAUACCGCAUAAAAUCGUAGAAACACAUGUUUUAACGGUCAAAGAUUUAUCGGUCAUAGAUGGGCUCGCGUCUGAUUAGCUAGUUGGUGAGAUAACAGCCCACCAAGGCGACGAUCAGUAGCCGGUCUGAGAGGAUGCACGGCCACAUUGGAACUGAGACACGGUCCAAACUCCUACGGGAGGCAGCAGUGGGGAAUAUUGCACAAUGGGGGAAACCCUGAUGCAGCGACGCCGCGUGAACGAAGAAGGUAUUCGUAUCGUAAAGUUCUGUCCUAUGGGAAGAUAAUGACAGUACCAUAGAAGAAAGCGCCGGCUAAAUACGUG